rnacentral:lncRNA from 1 species
AAUUGCAGAACCCCUAGGUUAAAUCGCGAGACGAAUCUAUUAAGCCUAAUUAAUCCAUCAUUAGUGAAUGGUUACUGUAGCACCACAUUGUCAAAUCAUGAACUAAUUAGGCUUAAUAGAUUCGUCUCGCGAUUUAGCCUAGGGGUUGUGUAAUUAGUUUUGUAAUUAGUCUAGGUUUAAUACUCCUAAUUGGUGUCCAAACAUUCGAUGUGACGGGAGCUAAAAUUUAGCCUCCUCCUCCCAAACA